GAUGAACGCUGGCGGCGUGCCUAAUACAUGCAAGUCGAGCGAACAGACGAGGAGCUUGCUCCUCGGACGUUAGCGGCGGACGUGUGAGUAACACGUGUAUAACCUACCUAUAAGACUGGUAUAACUUCGGGAAACCGGAGCUAAUACCGGAUAAUAUAUUGAACCGCAGGGUUCAAUAGUGAAAGACGGUGUUGCGGUCACGUAUAGAUGGAUCCGCGCCGCAUGAGCUAGUUGGUAAGUUAACGGCUUACCAAGGCAACGAGGCGUAGACGACGUGAGGGGGUGAUAGGCCACCUUGGAACUGAGCCACGGUCCAGGCUCCUAAGGGAGGGAGCAGUAGGGAAUGUGACGCAAAGGGCGAAAGCAUGACGGAGCAACGGCGAGCGUGUUACGAAGGUCUUGGGAUCGUAAAACUCUGUUACUAGGGAAGAACCAAUGUGUAAGUAACUAUGCACGUCUUGACGGUAACUAAUAAGAAAGCAACGGCUAACUACGUG
rnacentral:rRNA from 1 species